rnacentral:misc_RNA from 1 species
UCUCCGUAGGUGAACCUGCGGAGGGAUCAUUCACAUGAUUUACUUUAUAAACAAACUGUGAACUUUAUUAUCAUACUAUUCUUGUAGGGAUUAUUUUAUAAUCUUUUCCAACGUCAUUCGAUGAACAUUAGAUAGUUGGCUUGUUUUUUUUAAAUAAAAAACUUUCUCAGCUGAUUUGUUUGUUAGACUAAACAUCUAUUCAAUCAAUCAACCAAAAACAUAGAAACAACUCUAUGCCCUGGAUAUCUUGGUUCUC